CGGCCCGAUCCCGGUGACUGUUCUCUCUUUCUCUCUCUCUCUUUCUUGAUGUUAUUGGCCAUUGGCCCUGAGCCCCCUUUCCCCCCGCCCUUUGUGUUUGCCUCAGCUUGCCUUCACCAUCGGAUACAGAGGGGCCGUUACACCGUGCGCCGCACAUAAGAACCGGCGAUCGCGUGGUUUAGCGUGGCAACAUUUUAUCGCCUGUACCGAAACUCCUUAAGGAUUGGAAAAGUCCCGGAGGGAGGAGGGAAAAAUAAUCUUACACCUCGUACAUUUGAUUGAAUUAUGUGGAAACUACCGUGGUCCGUAGAGGGGAGCUCCUGGAUGUGCGUGAUGAACUUGAUAAUGUCCAGGAUUAGGAUGACUAGUCUGAUGGUGUCCGGGGUAAGACCAGGGGC